rnacentral:rRNA from 1 species
AACAAACGCUGGCGGCGUGUCUUAAGCAUGCAAGUUGAGCGGCAAGGAGGAGAGAUCCUCCCUAGGAGCGGCGGGACUGGGUGAGUAACGCGUGGGUAAUCUAAUCGUAGGCAUGGGGGAUAGUCACUAGAAAUAGUGGGUAAUACCGAAUACGUUCCAUGAGGGGAGUACUUAUGGAAGAAAGGGUGCUAUGGCACUGGCCUUAGGUGAGCUCGCGUCCCAUUAGCUAGUUGGUGAAGGUAAAGGCCCACCAAGGCGAUGAUGGGUAGCCGGCCUGAGAGGGUGUACGGCCACACUGGGACUGAGAUACGGCCCAGACUCCUACGGGAGGCAGCAGCUAAGAAUAUUCCGCAAUGGACGAAAGUCUGACGGAGCGACGCCGCGUGGAUGAAGAAGGCCGAAAGGUUGUAAAGUUCUUUUGCUAGGGGAGAAUAAGUGAGGGAGGGAAUGCCCUCAUGAUGACAAGGACUAGCGAAUAAGCCCCGGCCAACUACGUG